rnacentral:rRNA from 1 species
UACAGAGGGUGCAAGCGUUAAUCGGAAUUACUGGGCGUAAAGCGCACGUAGGCGGUUUUUUAAGUCAGAUGUGAAAGCCCCGGGCUCAACCUGGGAAUUGCAUUUGAAACUGGGAAACUAGAGUGUGUGAGAGGGGGGUAGAAUUCCAAGUGUAGCGGUGAAAUGCGUAGAGAUUUGGAGGAAUACCAGUGGCGAAGGCGGCCCCCUGGCACAACACGACGCUCAGGUGCGAAAGCGUGGGGAGCAAACAGG